UACAGAGGGUGCAAGCGUUGUUCGGAAUUAUUGGGCGUAAAGCGCGUGUAGGCGGCUUUGCAAGUCGGGUGUGAAAGCCCUCGGCCCAACCGAGGAAGUGCGCCCGAAACUGCAGAGCUUGAGUACCGGAGAGGGUGGCGGAAUUCCCCAAGUAGAGGUGAAAUUCGUAGAUAUGGGGAGGAACACCGGUGGCGAAGGCGGCCACCUGGACGGAUACUGACGCUGAGACGCGAAAGCGUGGGGAGCAAACAGG
rnacentral:rRNA from 1 species